rnacentral:rRNA from 1 species
UCCUGGCUUAGGACGAACGCUGGCGGCGUGCCUAAUACAUGCAAGUCGAACGGUCUUUCUAUGGAAGCUUGCUUCCACUGAGAAGAUGGUGGCGAACGGGUGAGUAACACGUGGGUAACCUGCCCAUAAGAGGGGGAUAACAUCCGGAAACGGGUGCUAAUACCGCAUAGUUUUCUUGAUUGCAUGAUUGAGAAAGGAAAGACGGCCUUUGUGCUGUCGCUUAUGGAUGGACCCGCGGCGUAUUAGUUAGUUGGUGAGGUAACGGCUCACCAAGACGAUGAUACGUAGCCGACCUGAGAGGGUGAUCGGCCGCAUUGGGACUGAGACACGGCCCAAACUCCUACGGGAGGCAGCAGUAGGGAAUCUUCCGCAAUGGACGAAAGUCUGACGGAGCAACGCCGCGUGAGUGAAAGAAGGUUUUCGGAUCGUAAAACUCUGUUGUCAGAGAAGAACAAGUUGGAGAGUAACUGCUCCAGCCUUGACGGUAUCUGACCAGAAAGCCACGGCUAACUACGUGCCAGCCGCGGC